rnacentral:rRNA from 1 species
AUUGAACGCUGGCGGAAUGCUUUACACAUGCAAGUCGAACGGCAGCAUAGAGAGCUUGCUCUCUGAUGGCGAGUGGCGAACGGGUGAGUAAUAUAUCGGAACGUACCCAGUAAUGGGGGAUAACGAAUCGAAAGAUUCGCUAAUACCGCAUACGCCCUACGGGGGAAAGCGGGGGAUCGUAAGACCUCGCGUUAUUGGAGCGGCCGAUAUCUGAUUAGCUAGUUGGUGAGGUAAAGGCUCACCAAGGCGACGAUCAGUAGCUGGUCUGAGAGGACGACCAGCCACACUGGAACUGAGACACGGUCCAGACUCCUACGGGAGGCAGCAGUGGGGAAUUUUGGACAAUGGGGGCAACCCUGAUCCAGCCAUUCCGCGUGAGUGAAGAAGGCCCUCGGGUUGUAAAGCUCUUUCGCAAGGGAAGAAAACUUAUCUACCAAUACUAGGUGAGGCUGACGGUACCUUGAUAAGAAGCACCGGCUAACUACGUGCCAGCAGCCGCGGUAA